rnacentral:rRNA from 1 species
UUUUGAUUAUAAUUUAAAGUCUAACCUGCCCUAUGAUUUAUUAUUAAAUGGCCGCGAUAUUUUGAUCGUGCAAAGGUAGCAUAAUAAUUAGUUUUUUAAUUGAGAACUGGUAUGAAUGGUUGAACGAGAAAAAAACUGUCUCAAUUUAAUUUAAAUUAGAAUUUUAUUUUUAAGUAAAAAAGCUUAGAUAUUUUUAAAAGACGAGAAGACCCUAUAGAGUUUUAUAUAAAAUUAUUAUUUUAAAAAAUUUUAGAAUUUUAAAUUUAAUUAUAAUAAUUUAUAUUUAAUUGGGGUGAUUAAAAAAUUUAAUAAACUUUUUUUAAAUUUGAACAUAAAUUUAUGAAUAGAUGAUCC